UACGGAGGAUGCGAGCGUUGUCCGGAAUCAUUGGGCGUAAAGGGCGCGUAGGUGGCCCGGUCAGUCUUUGGUGAAAGCGCGGGGCUCAACCCUGCGUCGGCCAGGGAUACUGCCGCGGCUCGAGCACUGUAGAGGCAGGCGGAAUUCCGGGUGUAGAGGUGAAAUUCGUAGAUAUUCGCAAGAACACCAGUGGCGAAGGCAGCACUCUGGGACGGUACUGACGCUGAGACGCGAAAGCGUGGGGAGCGAACAGG
rnacentral:rRNA from 1 species